AUUGAACGCUGGCGGCCGGCCUAACACAUGCAAGUCGAACGAGUGGCGGACGGGUGAGUAAUGUCUGGGAAACUGCCCGAUGGAGGGGGAUAACUACUGGAAACGGUAGCUAAUACCGCAUACCAUCGGAUGUGCCCAGAUGGGAUUAGCUUGUAGGUGAGGUAACGGCUCACCAAGGCGACGAUCCCUAGCUGGUCUGAGAGGAUGACCAGCCACACGGGAACGUAGACACGGUCCAGACUCCUACGGGAGGCAGCAGUGGGGAAUAGUGCACUAUGUGCGCAAGCCUGAUGCAGCCAUGCCGCGGGUAUGAAGAAGGCCUUCUGGUUGUAAAGUACUUUCAGCGGGUAGGCGUUACCCGCAGAAGAAGCACCGGCUAACUCCGUGCCAGCCGCCGCGGUAAUUC
rnacentral:rRNA from 1 species